GUUUUGUAGUUUAUUAUUAUUAUUUUUUUUUUAUGCCCACCUCUCCUAUUAGAAUGCCUAAAGUUGAAGUUUGGUCAAUACACGCUUGAGACUAAUAGUGAUGAUGGGUUGCAUUAACUGGAAGCCUGGUUGUUCUUUUGUGAGUGUAAAAGCCCAAACAUAGAUAAGAUGCUGACAGACAUUAAGCAAGCAUUCAACAAAGGUCAAUAAAUUAGAGCAUCAAGUCCUUGAUUCUUUUGAACAAGACAAAGAUACCCUAGUUGAGUGGAGGUUACUACUACCUUUCCAGGGAGAUGAAGCUCAAAUAUCCAAGCUUAUGAACAAGAACUAGGACAGGCAACAUUGCCUCAUUCUUUGAUGGGUGCAGUCCUCAUCUUUUAUUAGAUAGCAUCAUGGGUUAUAUUUCAAACUAUAUAUUGAAGGAAUGUAUUUAAAAUUAUGUGGCGGGAGUUUUUUGUUAGUAGUUAGGCACAUG
rnacentral:misc_RNA from 1 species